UGUAAUCCUGGCUUCCCUGGAGCUCACUCUGUAGACCCGGCUGGCCUUGAACUCAGAGAUCCACCUGCCUCUGCCUGAAUGCUGGGGUUAAGCCUAGCAAAUUUUUUAAUUUUCUAUGUUGGAGUAAGAAUAUUACAAGGAAGCCAUUGCCUAAAACUAAAAGUAUUGACAAAUCCUGCUUACACUACCAGAAUUGUUCUACUUGUCUGCCCACCUGAAAAAUAUUCAAGUUUAAAAAAAUAAAAAAAAAAGUUAAGUUUUCCUUUCAUGGAUUAAUCCAUUAAGGAUUGUUGGUGGUGCUACAAAUAUUUCUAGGUAAUGUUUUAGGCAGAGUAUGAAAUAUUCCUCGUUAGGGAAGAACAGCAAGCAGAAUGGUUUACUAGUGAGCCUUACCUCCAAUGAUAAUCACCAACUUUAAAAAACCCUUAAGGUGAAGAACCUACAGCAGAGUAUAUAAAGGUCCCAAGACUGCAGACAAGUAACAAACCUAAAUAAAGCAGGCUCCUUUAGCAGACCGAUCAGAUCAAAUAGCACGCCUUACCCUUUCCUUAGAGAGUAUAAAUUUUAAAUGUUUUAUUUUUAUUUUGUAUUCAUUGGUUUUUUUACCUGUAAAUGUCUGUAUGAGGUUAUCAGAGUCCCUGGAACUAGAGUUACAAACAGUUGUGAGCUACCAUGUGGGUACUGGGAAUUGAGCCUGGGUCCUCUGGAAGAACAGCUAGUGCUCUUAACCACUACUCUAAUUCUCCAGCACAAGGAAGUAUGAAUUUAAUUACACACAGGAAAGUCUUUCUCUCCCAUGUUUUUCUACACAUCCUCAGUAAGAGCCCUCCAAUAGCUGGUGGGAAAUUUGGGGCUCAACUUUGCUUCUGCUACUCCUCCUCACUCCUUUACUGCACACCCACUGUGUAUGGGUAAGGGUGGGGGCAGUGGUGGAGGUGGGGGCAGACCAACAUUACAAAGACACCAGGAGCCUAGCCUCUAAGAAUGUAGUCUGUUACUCAAAUAUUCCUGGUUUACAACAUUUCAAGAUUGAGACUGGCAAAUAUAUAUAUGUGCC
rnacentral:lncRNA from 1 species